rnacentral:tRNA from 1 species
UCCUCGGUAGUAUAGUGGUAAGUAUCCCCGCCUGUCACGCGGGAGACCGGGUUCGAUUCCCGCCGGGAGA